UGUGUGUGUGUGUGUGUGUGUGUGUGUAUAUAUAUAUAUAUAUACAUAUAUAUAUAUUACAUUGUCCACAAGAAAGUCAGAAUGAGAAUAUAUUACACACACACACACACACACACACACU
rnacentral:miRNA from 1 species